CUACGGGAGGCAGCAGUGGGGAAUAUUGCACAAUGGGCGCAAGCCUGAUGCAGCAACGCCGCGUGAGGGACGACGGCCUUCGGGUUGUAAACCUCUUUUAGCAGGGAAGAAGCGAAAGUGACGGUACCUGCAGAAAAAGCGCCGGCUAACUACGUGCCAGCAGCCGCGGUAAUACGUAGGGCGCAAGCGUUAUCCGGAAUUAUUGGGCGUAAAGAGCUCGUAGGCGGUUUGUCGCGUCUGCUGUGAAAUCCCGAGGCUCAACCUCGGGUCUGCAGUGGGUACGGGCAGACUAGAGUGCGGUAGGGGAGAUUGGAAUUCCUGGUGUAGCGGUGGAAUGCGCAGAUAUCAGGAGGAACACCGAUGGCGAAGGCAGAUCUCUGGGCCGUAACUGACGCUGAGGAGCGAAAGGGUGGGGAGCAAACAGGCUUAGAUACCCUGGUAGUCCACCCCGUAAACGUUGGGAACUAGUUGUGGGGUCCAUUCCACGGAUUCCGUGACGCAGCUAACGCAUUAAGUUCCCCGCCUGGGGAGUACGGCCGCAAGGCUAAAACUCAAAGGAAUUGACGGGGACCCGCACAAGCGGCGGAGCAUGCGGAUUAAUUCGAUGCAACGCGAAGAACCUUACCAAGGCUUGACAUAUACGAGAACGGGCCAGAAAUGGUCAACUCUUUGGACACUCGUAAACAGGUGGUGCAUGGUUGUCGUCAGCUCGUGUCGUGAGAUGUUGGGUUAAGUCCCGCAACGAGCGCAACCCUCGUUCUAUGUUGCCAGCACGUAAUGGUGGGAACUCAUGGGAUACUGCCGGGGUCAACUCGGAGGAAGGUGGGGAUGACGUCAAAUCAUCAUGCCCCUUAUGUCUUGGGCUUCACGCAUGCUACAAUGGCCGGUACAAAGGGCUGCAAUACCGUAAGGUGGAGCGAAUCCCAAAAAGCCGGUCCCAGUUCGGAUUGAGGUCUGCAACUCGACCUCAUGAAGUCGGAGUCGCUAGUAAUCGCAGAUCAGCAACGCUGCGGUGAAUACGUUCCCGGGUCUUGUACACACCGCCCGUCAAGUCAUGAAAGUCGGUAACACCUGAAGCCGGUGGCCCAACCC
rnacentral:rRNA from 1 species